GGAUACGGCCAUACUGCGCAGAAAGCACCGCUUACCAUCUUAACAGCGAAGUUAAGCUGCGCCAGGCGGCGUUAGUACUGGGGUGGGCGACCACCCGGGAAUCCGCCGUGCUGUAUCCUUUU
rnacentral:rRNA from 1 species